rnacentral:rRNA from 1 species
GAGAGAGACAUGCGCGCAUAUCAAUAAGCGGAGGAAAAGAAACUAACUAGGAUUCCCUCAGUAACGGCGAGUGAAGCGGGAAGAGCUCAAAUUUGAAAUCUUCAAGGUUCUACCUUGACGAAUUGUAGUUUAAAGAAGUGUUUUCUGUUGGAGUUUUGGUAAAAGUUCUUUGGAAUAGGACAUCAUAGAGGGUGAGAAUCCCGUAUUUGACCAUUUACUUUCAGCCUUUGUGAUACACUUUCAAAGAGUCGGAUUGUUUGGGAAUGCAGUCCAAAAUGGGUGGUAAAUUUCAUCUAAAGCUAAAUAUUGGCGAGAGACCGAUAGCGAACAAGUACCGUGAGGGAAAGAUGAAAAGAACUUUGAAAAGAGAGUUAAACAGUACGUGAAAUUGUCAAAAGGGAAGCGUUUGACACCAGUGUUGUUUUUCUGAAAAUCAAUUAAAGAACUGUUUAUGCUAAGCUGUUUAGACUUUAUCAGCUAACUGUUUAGUUUUGAGCUUUUCUUUAAUGCACUUUUCAGUUAACAAGUCAACAUCAAUUUCUUUUGCUGUAAAAAAGCUUGAGGAAGGUGGCUUGAGAUUCGUCUUAAGUGUUUAUAGCCUCUUGCCUAUGCAGUCGGAGAGAUUGAGGUCUGCAGCGUAGAUCCUUCGGGGCUAAAUGCAUUUGUGCUAAGUUAUAGCAUUUUAUAGACAACUUGUUGACUAUGAUUUGUCUUGUAGCUUACUCGCUUAUGCUAUUUUACCUACGCUUAGGAUGUUGAAGACUCUACAGAGAUA